UGAAUUCUUUUGAGAUGCUGAAAAAGGAGCAUAAGCAAGUGAUGUCGGACUUGCAGAAAAUGCCCAUGGAGAUCAGUGACAGUGUGAACAAGGUCAAACAGCUGAUUGAGGAGAAUGUAUCCUACAGUUACCUCCACAGCCAGGUCCUCCGAGAAUGUACUCAGCUGAAGGAGAACGUACAUUUGUUGAGACUGAAGAACAGACUGCUGUGGAAGGAGUGGAUUGAACUGUAAGAGUCCUGUGAGGAGCUGAAUAGGCUCUUGAAGGAGGCUCAUGAGAUGAUCUGUGUCCCUUCUGCUGAGCAGCAGCACAUAAGCUGAGGCAGCGGAGGCAGGUGCCCAACUGUCCGACCAUAAACAUAGAGACACCCAUAGAGACUCCCACCUACAUACCAUCCAAUUGUUCAUUUCUGUGAUCACUCCCAAGUCUUUCUGGCGAGUUAUCCUCUUUCAAGAAUCUGAAUAAUUGUCAAGCAAACCCUCCUGCUCUGCCAGAAGCUGCAGUACAUUCAGAGAGAUGGGUCAGUAACAUAUCACACACAUACAUGUCAUUAUGAUCAGAGGGCUGCUAUGCAGGGAGGUACUUUGGCAACAACACAAAGCUUUCAUUGAUGAUGUCAGUGGCCUGUGGCUCAUUUGCUUUGCAGGGGUCAUGUGAGAUCACAGGUAGGAAGCAGCCUUUAAGGACUAGAUCCCAGUGCCAGUGCCAAGUCAGAUCCAUUCCAGGAGAACUUCAGAAGAAUAAAGCCCACAUCUGAAAGAAACCUUUCCUCAAUACACUGUGACUUCUGCUGUGGUGAAAGAGUAGCAUCAACCAUCCCUCUCCCUUUCAAGCCUUGCAGAGAUACACUCUCCGUGAGAGGCAUGUGGCUUUUGCUGCAGAUACCAUCCACCCAGACAAAUGUGAAGUUUCUAUUUAACACUGCUUAGCUGGUGUAUCACAGGUAUAUCUUAUCCCAUCUCCAUCCCCAGGCGGGUCUUAAAAGUCUGCAUUUCAUCUGAUGGGCCUACUCUGCAUUGUCAUCUAAAUGAGAGGUGACAUAACUGCUCUAACUCUGACUUAAGAGAUGCUGAGCGAUGAUCCUGAACUCGGGAGCACUCUGCUUGAAUGCCUGGCAUCCCAAGUAAUCUCCCACGCCUACCUCAUGGUCCUGUCCCUACAAUUCUCCAGAAAUAUCUCUCUUCGAUUAGGUGUAAUCCAGUUCAACUAAUACACUAGAGAGGCUGGAAGGACAAAAGUCAAGUGCAUGGGCUGGAGAGAUUACUCAUUCUUUAAGAGGAUGUGUAGCUCUCCCAGAGGACCCAGAUUUCAGCUAACAAUCUUCUGUGACUCCAGUUCCAUGUGGAAUCCAUUGCCCUUUCUGGCAAACUGAUUGCUUGUGGUGCAUAGAAAACAGGCAAAAUACCCAUAUUCAUAAAUUCAAGUAAAUGAAUCUCAAAAAAUUCCA